UUUCCAUCACGUUUCAUUUAUUUGUUUUACUUUGAGCUCUUUUGUAACAAAAAAUAAAAAUGCAUUUUACCCCUCUGAGCACCAGACUUAAAUGGGACUGACAUCUCUACCCCCAUAGGAGUAGGAAACAUCAGCAAACUUGAGUCCAGCAACAACUUUUGUUGUGCAGACAGUAGGACUGCAGCCAGCAGAAGCACCUGACUGCGUGUGGCGGGGUGACGCAGCCCGGGCAUCGCUGCUCCGAGGUCCUCCAGCAGAUGGAGACAUGGGAAGAAAGGAGGGAGAAGGGAGGGAGAACAGGAGGAAAAGCUCCAAAACGCAGCCUGCCAGCAAGGGCCUGCUGUGCCCCAUCUGCACGGCCUGGCUCCAGGUGUGCUGAUCCAGUAGUGCUGCAGGGAGAGGUCUGAAGUGAUGUCAGCUGAAGGGACACAGGUCAGCCUCAGCCUCAGCAUCUCCCAGGCCAGGGCCGUGGCUAAGAAUGAUUUUAGGGCUGAGGAGCAGAGGACCACAUGGUAAAUAGGAAGAGGCAGUGAAUAGCUUCAUUGCUCCCCAGAGACAUCCAUUCCCCCUCUUGCAGACAGUUGCAAGGAAGCUGGAAAGCAGAGUAGCAGCACUACGAUGCUGUACACAGGCCUUUCCUUCCCUUGUCACUUCUCAGAGCAGCUGAGACCUCAUUUCCUACAAACCAAGACAAAGUCUGGAAAUGGGGUCUCAUCCUGGCUGCAGCACAGCAGGCAGGAGGUGGGGGGCUGGCAGCUCCAGCUCGCAGCUGCUUGGGCUGUUCUGCACCUGGGGCUGUCUGUGCCUUUGGGUUGCCUUUGCUGGAGGGGCCUCUCAGGCACCUUACAACCUCUGUGCUCUUUGAAAUGUGCAUGCCUGCUUUACAAGCAGCCCUUUAAGGUUUUCUGGCACCGGUACAGGGAUGCUCCAACUGACCUAAUUUCACUGAUCUUUCUUAUCUCUGACCUCUGUGGUUCAUUGACUACAGGGAUUGCUGGGUUUCUCAUUAGUGGUUAGAAAGUAUUUUUAUGCUCCUGUUCACUUGACACACAGCAAAAUCUUCCAGAAAGUAAUCUUGCUGUGCAGCUCAGGGCUGUGUUCCGCAGAGGAGCAGGCUUCUGCCACCAUCAGCCCUUCUCCAUCACAAGGGAACAGCCAAGGAUGAGCUUCAGGGCUGGGUGCUGAGUGCUGUGCCUCAGGGUGCCUCUCCCAGCGGGUCCCUCCGCAGAAAAGAUUCUCUCAAAGGGUUGAAGCCAGAAGGGUCCAAGUUCCCUUUCAGGCUGGUUUACUCGUGAUUUUCUGAAAAUUUUCAUAGAAUGGCUUGAGGUGAAAGGGACCACAGAGUCUGUCUCGUUCCAACCCCCCUGCUGUGAGCAGGGUUGUCAACUGCUAGAUCAGGCACCCCGCUCAGGCUGCCCAGGGCCCCAUCCAGCCUGGCCUCGAGUGCCUCCAGGGAUGGGCAUCCACAUCUUCUGUGGGCAGCAGUGCUGGGGCCUCGCUGCCCUCUCAGUGAAAACCUUCCACCUGAUAUCAUCCCUGUGUUGAGAUCUUUAAUAUAUAUAUAUUGUAUUUUAUUUAAACUGCUCAAGCUCCAUACCUCUUUAGCUGGGCCACUUCUCUCAGCAUGUGGACACUGACUGUUCUUUCUUCUCUGCUUGCAGGCUGUUGGAGCGGCCUCCCACAGGAUGGUGAUGGGGCUCGUCACAGUGCAUGGGAUAACUCAGGGAUGUCUUUCUGCCACCCCACCCUCCCUAUCUGUCCUGCGAGGCUUUCCAGCCUCCUUCACGUCAGUGCAAAUGAGGCUGUGCAGCUCUGCGCAGUCCCUACAGACUUGGAGGGGAGAGGGAGGAGCAGUGCCAGGACUGCUAUCGCUGCGAGGGAGUGAACGCCCAGCAUCAGCCAGAUAAGGACCCGGGCUGAGCUGGAGUGCCUGGCUACACCUCAGCCAGCCUCUAUGCAUACAGGAGAGUCUGUCCUCGCCAGCUGCUGCCCUUUGAACCUGGGGAUGACAGGAGCCAGCCCCAGCACCGAGCUGUGAACAGCCGUGCUCCAGUCACUGUGUCUGUCCC
rnacentral:lncRNA from 1 species